rnacentral:rRNA from 1 species
GUGCGAAGUCGCAAGACGAUGUAUACGGACUGACUCCUGCCCGGUGCUGGAAGGUUAAGAGGACCGGUUAGCCGCAAGGCGAAGCUGAGAAUUUAAGCCCCAGUAAACGGCGGUGGUAACUAUAACCAUCCUAAGGUAGCGAAAUUCCUUGUCGGGUAAGUUCCGACCUGCACGAAUGGAGUAACGACUUCCCCGCUGUCUCAACCAUAAACUCGGCGAAAUUGCAGUACGAGUAAAGAUGCUCGUUACGCGCAGCAGGACGGAAAGACCCCGAGACCUUUACUAUAGUUUGGUAUUGGUGUUCGGAGUGGCUUGUGUAGGAUAGGUGGGAGACGUUGAAGCCCGGACGCCAGUUCGGGUGGAGUCAUCGUUGAAAUACCACUCUGGUCACUUUGGACAUCUAACUUCGGCCCGUAAUCCGGGUCAGGGACAGUGCCUGAUGGGUAGUUUAACUGGGGCGGUUGCCUCCUAAAAAGUAACGGAGGCGCCCAAAGGUUCCCUCAGCCUGGUUGGCAAUCAGGUGUCGAGUGUAAGUGCACAAGGGAGCUUGACUGUGAGAGAGACAUCUCGAGCAGGGACGAAAGUCGGGACUAGUGAUCCGGCGGUACAUUGUGGAAUGGCCGUCGCUCAACGGAUAAAAGGUACCUCGGGGAUAACAGGCUGAUCUUGCCCAAGAGUCCAUAUCGACGGCAUGGUUUGGCACCUCGAUGUCGGCUCGUCGCAUCCUGGGGCUGGAGUAGGUCCCAAGGGUUGGGCUGUUCGCCCAUUAAAGCGGUACGCGAGCUGGGUUUAGAACGUCGUGAGACAGUUCGGUCCCUAUCCGCUGCGCGCGCAGGAAAUUUGAGAAGGGCUGUCCUUAGUACGAGAGGACCGGGACGGACGAACCUCUGGUGUGUCAGUUGUACUGCCAAGUGCACCGCUGAUUAGCUACGUUCGGAUGGGAUAACCGCUGAAAGCAUCUAAGCGGGAAGCUCGCUUCAAGAUGAGAUUUCCAUA